UGCAUAAUAUUCGAGGCUAACUGUAGCUUUAGUCAUUUUCUCGAUGUAAAGAGCGAUAAUAUGCCGUGAACAUCAAUCCAAAUAUCAAUGUGUGAUAAAAAUUGCGAAAGUGAAAUAUCAGCAAUUAAUUAAUCUGAUAUAAUGAAAGCACUACGAGAUUUUCUACUAUUACGCCAUACAUUUAUAACUUCGAAACAAAUGCAAAUUAAAACGCAAACAACAUACGCUCGCAUGCACGACGAUUUAGCGUCACAAGAGCAAUAGAAGCUCAUUGGUCCAUUUUCGAAACUCCUCCCUCAGUGGCUACGCUGAUGUGCACCUGUGAAAUAUGCGCACCGGCACAGUUUAAGCUCUGUCAAAAGCCCAUUUUUAAGAACUUCAGAUUUCUACAAUGAGAGGUGUAAUGGAAUUUUCAUUACAGGAUAUUUAAAGGGAGUUCCUUCCAGUAUGACCAUUGAUACAGAAGACAAUAUUGCUGAAAAGAUUUGGUUCAAAUUCGAAAAUAAACUCGUUUGGACGCCUCCCUGCGUUACGCUGCAGCCUGUAUCUGGUGACAAAAGUGACAACUAUAGAAUGAUAAACUUUAACAUAAUGUUUGGAAGUGCAGCUUAACAUCAUACAGCACAUGUGGCAGAUAUUACAAACCCUCGCAUACUCAGAUUAGACACAAACACUUUUUCCUUGAACUUUAAAAAUAACAAUUGCAUUUUACCUCUGACGAUAUAACCCUGUUCAGAAUUAAAGAUGAAGGAAUUAAAUACGCCCACGAAAUAAUAGCUCAAGACGAUAUCAUGGAACCACCAUCAACAGAAUUCUUACUACUUGGAUCCAUAGAUAAAAAUAUAAAUUUUUGUUACGGUAUUAAUUGGAAUAUUCUAAAAUCUCAUCCUCCAUGUUCAAAAUGCCUUUCCUUCGCACCUAAGCUUGAUUUUUCGCCCAUCGGUUCAGAAAGACUUAGCGGGUGCAAAACAAGACAUCUGUCUACUUUGUCUGUCUUUUCUUCUAUUGUAUUCAAAAUGCAUUUAUAAAUUAGGAAUAUUUUAUUUUAUACUUUCGGUUGAGGCAACUCACUAGAACUUCAACUAUUGAAAAUCGAGCAUGGUGAUAUUAUGGACUGUCAAGGGUAUUCUGAACAACUAUAAGCGAGGUUUUUCUAAUUUUCUGACCGGGUUCCAGUUUUCUUUAGAGCAUAUUCCUUAGAGCUUUUAAGCUGAAUAAAUGGGGAACGUAUUUACUAUUGUCCAACCAACAAUACUGGAAUCAGUUCCUCCACCAAAUUUACCCAAGCAACCUUCGAGUUCAAAUUAUGAUCCAGGAAAAGAAACUUUACAGAUUUCAUCAGACCUUGAAUCCUGGAACUGUACAAGAUCUUCAUAAAAAGUGCGAGGAAAUAUCCAGUUUUAGCGGGUGCUGUUGAUCCUAGUGGCACGAUGACUGCUAAAAUGAUUCACAAAUACAAAAAUAUACAUGGAAUGUAUUUUACUCAGGGUCUAAUUAUAUUAUAAGUGGAACAUUGGGUCCAUAUGGUCUGCAUGCUUGUUAUUAUCGUAAGGAUGGUGAAAAUAUACAGGUGGGUGUUGAUCUGAAAACAAACUUUAGGUCAAGUGAAAGUGUAUGUUCUAUAGGAUAUCAAAUUGAUCUUCCUAAAGCAAAUUUAGUAUUUCGAGGUAAAACCGUUUAACAUUUUUAACUUUUCUGCCAAAUUCAUUAUUGAGCUGUUAACAAUUUUUAAGAAAAUAGUUUUUUACUCUUAUGUAUUUUAUUUUCAAUAUUAAGCUUCUA
rnacentral:misc_RNA from 1 species